rnacentral:rRNA from 1 species
UACAGAGGAGCCAAGCGUUGUCCGGAUUGACUGGGCGUAAAGCGCACGCAGGCGGUUGCGCGCGUGGGGGGUGAAAUCUGGCCGCUUAACGGCCAGGCGCCAUCCCAUACGGCGCGACUGGAGGGCUGCAGAGGUCGAUGGAAUUGCCGGUGUAGUGGUGAAAUGCGUAGAGAUCGGGAGGAACACCAGUGGCGAAGGCGGCUACCUGGACCAGCACUGACACUGAAGCACGAAAGCGUGGGGAGCAAACAGG